rnacentral:lncRNA from 1 species
CCUCAAUAUCAGUUGAUCAUACAUGGAAAAAGGAGAAAAUUGACUUUUAUCACAUUUGGUACAAAAUAGUGUGCAAGAUUUGGUGUUGAGUUGGAGUAGUGUAUUUGGUGAAAAAUUUGUGAUUUGGUUUUAAGGUUGGAAAGAAUAAAGCUUAUGUAACAGAGAGGCUAACCACCUCCUUGACAGAAGCCCCACAAAU